ensembl:lncRNA
GUGGGUUCUGUGAUUGUUAAUUUUGUAUUAUCCUGCCUCCAUUAAUUACCUUUUUUUUUUUUUUAAAGGUUACCUGCCUUUAGUUAAGAGGCAAAGUACAGGCUUGUGGUUGAUUCAGUUCCAAUUACAAGCAUGAUGUUUACCUUCGGAAGAUCAUUUCCUUUGGGCUUAAAGCUUCGAGUUUACCUCCUUUGUUGAUUUCUCUCCCCAUCUUCACAUUCACCGGAUGCAGUCUUGCAUGUUUACUUGGCAAACCAAGAACGAGGAGACACUUUGUAGGGCUAUGAUUCCUUAAGAAGAAGGCACAGCCUAGUUUUUGUUCACUAUAGCGCCCAGCACAAUGUGCUGCAUGUAAUAGCCACACACAAAAUAUUAAUUGAAGAAAAUAUAGAUGUUUAUUCCAAAAUUAUAAAGAUUUCACUAUUUUGGUUUGGAUAUUGCUUUUGAGAUCCCUAUUAGUACACAGCAUUUUUAUGGACAAUCUAGAACAUCUCUAUUUCACACCCCAGUCAUCAAAACUUCCUGAGCAGGCAAAGGAUGAAAACUUGCUCCAACAGGUCACACACCUCUCCAGAAACUUUCUGCUUCCGGCCUGGACUAGAAGUAAAAGGGUUCCUGAAGUUCUUUCUAUUCAUGAACCAGGAGGGAGGAGGAGGCAAAAGCCCAAACUGCCAUGUGUUUGCUGGAAGGAUGGCAAAAAAAGAAAACGGAGAUGGAGGAAGAAAGAAACCUUGGUUUCUAAAAGCCGUGCAAGUGAAAACUGGAAGUUUGACAGCAGGCCAGCAGGGUAGAAGAGAAAGGAAGUUGCCUCGGGGCUCAUCUGCGCCCCAGGAAUGGCCUUGGAAGGUGGUAUUUUACAACAGGCAUAUGGUGCUGGCUUCGAUCAGAGAUCAUUUCCACUUGUGUGCCGCUUCUCAUGAUAAAUAAGAAACCCAUCAGAGAAGUAUCCUCGUGGGAAAACAGCCCAAUGGUGGGUGAUACUAACUUCUAUCUUUCUAGAUCAUCGAGAUUUUAUACAGAUAGAAUGGAGCCUACGAACUUGGAGGACACCUGCAGCGUCUGAGACUCUGCAUCCAACUUUUCCAUGUGCUUUUUUUCAAUUCCCCCACUGUGCACCAACCACAGGCAACACCAUUGCACUGGAUAAUGACGGCUCCGACCCUCAGAAUCUUUCACAAUCUGAGUUGAUCAUAAUUUUACCAUACCAUGAAGCAUGAAGUAAAAUGCCUGUGAGAAGUUUCAUGCGCAAUCUGGAAUGAGAACUGCUACACAGAAUUUCAUAAUUCAAAAAAUUACAAGUGGUGAUAACGGCUUGCAUGUUGCGGCACCUGAAGAUUUCAAAUCUCUACUCACAGGUUGUCAAGCCUAGUACUGGGAAGUGAGAGUGGAUUUCUUCUUCCCUUUCAUGCUUCCCCGAACAACAGGACCCUCAGAGAGUACUGCCCAGGAGCCACGACAGUGAAUCCAAUGGUGGACAGUGACAAGAAGGAUCAAGAGAGAAUCUUCUCACGGCCCAUUCCUUAACAGGGAAUGUCCCAUGUCAGCUGGAUAGUCCUGGGGACCACUGGUGAUAAAGGGUGUCCAUGGCAAAACUACGCAGACAGUGAAAAGCCCAGUGGUUGUCAGGGAUGUGGGGAGGGAGAGAUGGAUAGAGAGAGCACAGAGGAUUGUUAGAGCAGUGAAAAUACUCUGUAUGAUAUUAUAAUGGUGGAUACGUCAUUGUACAUUUAUUCAAACUCACAGAAUGUACAAUGCCAAGAGUGAACACUAAUGUAAACUACGGACUUUGGGUGAUAAUGAUGUAUCAGCGUAGGUUCAUCAGUUGAAACAAAUGUACCACUCUGGUGGGGGAUGCUGAUCAUGAAGGAGGCUGUGGGUGUGUGGGGGCAGGGAGCGUAUGGGAAAUUUCUGUACAUUCCUCUCCAUUUUGCUGUGAGCCUUAAACUGCUUUAAAAAUAACAAUAAGAAAGUCUUAAUUUUAAAAGAAAAGGGAAAAAAAGAAAUACAGUGGAGCAAUCCUGAAAAAAAAAAUAGCCACUAAUAUUGUAAAAUAACUUACCAUUUACAAAACAUACUCAUACUGAUCACUACAUUUGAUGCUCACGUUAACCUUGCAGAUUAGAUAUGAUUCCACCCCCAUUUCACAAGAAGGUAACUAAAGCUCCAAGAGGGCAAAUGACUUAAACAAGGUCACUUGGUUCAUAAGUGGCAGAACUAGGAUUCUAAAUUUUUUUCACUUUACAAUAUAAACUCAGUCUUUAAGGUGCAAUUGUCAUCAAUUAUACCUCAAUAGAGCUGAAAAAAUGCAAUUGUCUUAGAAGCAUAAGUAGAGAAAUGCAGUAUAAACUUCUUUUCACUAUUAAUAAUCAACUUACCAUUAUACAUUUAAGUAAAACAAAGUAACUCAAACUAAA